rnacentral:tRNA from 1 species
GGCAGUUUAGCUUAAUGGUAAAGCACUUGACACGUAAUCACAGGGAUGUGAGUUUGAGUCUCAUGGCUGGCCA